GAUGAACGCUGGCGGCGUGCCUAAUACAUGCAAGUCGAGCGAACAGAUGAGGAGCUUGCUCCUCUGACGUUAGCGGCGGACGGGUGAGUAACACGUGGAUAACCUACCUAUAAGACUGGGAUAACUUCGGGAAACCGGAGCUAAUACCGGAUAAUAUAUUGAACCUCAUGGUUCAAUAGUGAAAGACGGUUUUGCUGUCACUUAUAGAUGGAUCCGCGCCGCAUUAGCUAGUUGGUAAGGUAACGGCUUACCAGGGCAACGAUGCGUAGCCGACCUGAGAGGGUGAUCGGCCACACUGGAACUGAGACACGGUCCAGACUCCUACGGGAGGCAGCAGUAGGGAAUCUUCCGCAAUGGGCGAAAGCCUGACGGAGCAACGCCGCGUGAGUGAUGAAGGUCUUCGGAUCGUAAAACUCUGUUAUUAGGGAAGAACAAAUGUGUAAGUAACUAUGCACGUCUUGACGGUACCUAAUCAGAAAGCCACGGCUAACUACGUG
rnacentral:rRNA from 1 species